GAUGAAGAACGUAGCGAAAUGCGAUAAGUAAUGUGAAUUGCAGAAUUCAGUGAAUCAUCGAAUCUUUGAACGCACAUUGCGCCCGCCAGUAUUCUGGCGGGCAUGCCUGUUCGAGCGUCAUUUCAACCCUCAGGCCCCCAGUGCCUGGCGUUGGGGAUCGGCACACGGCCCGCGGCCUCUCUCCGGAGGGGACCCGCGGCGCCCGCCGGCCCCGAAAUCUAGUGGCGGUCUCGCUGUAGUCCUCCUCUGCGUAGUAGCACAACCUCGCAGUUGGAACGCGGCGGUGGCCAUGCCGUUAAACACCCCACUUCUGAAAGUUGACCUCGGAUCAGGUAGGAAUACCCGCUGAACUUAAGCAUAUCAAUAAGCGGAGGA
rnacentral:misc_RNA from 1 species